AUACGGAGGGUGCAAGCGUUAUUCGGAAUCACUGGGCGUAAAGGACGCGUAGGCGGGUUGGCAAGUCAGAUGUGAAAUCCUACAGCUUAACUGUAGAACUGCAUUUGAAACUGCUAACCUAGAGUAUGGGAGGGGGAGAUGGAAUUAGUGGUGUAGGGGUAAAAUCCGUAGAUAUCACUAGGAAUACCGAAAGCGAAGGCGAUCUCCUGGAACAUAACUGACGCUAAGGCGUGAAAGCGUGGGGAGCAAACAGGAUUAGAAACCCCUAGUAGUCC
rnacentral:rRNA from 1 species